rnacentral:rRNA from 1 species
AGUGAACGCUGGCGGUAGGCCUAACACAUGCAAGUCGAACGGCAGCACAGUAAGAGCUUGCUCUUACGGGUGGCGAGUGGCGGACGGGUGAGGAAUACAUCGGAAUCUACUUUUUCGUGGGGGAUAACGUCGGGAAACUUACGCUAAUACCGCAUACGACCUACGGGUGAAAGCAGGGGAUCUUCGGACCUUGCGCGAUUGAAUGAGCCGAUGUCGGAUUAGCUAGUUGGCGGGGUAAAGGCCCACCAAGGCGACGAUCCGUAGCUGGUCUGAGAGGAUGAUCAGCCACACUGGAACUGAGACACGGUCCAGACUCCUACGGGAGGAAGCAGUGGGGAAUAUUGGACAAUGGGCGCAAGCCUGAUCCAGCAAUACCGCGUGGGUGAAGAAGGCCUUCGGGUUGUAAAGCCCUUUUGUUGGGAAAGAAAAGCAGCAGGUUAAUACCCCGCUGUUCUGACGGUACCCAAAGAAUAAGCACCGGCUAACUUCGUG